rnacentral:snRNA from 1 species
AUACUUACCUGGACGGGGUCUAUGGUCGAUCAACAAGGACUAUGGCCUAGGGUAGUGACCUCCAUUGCACAUAGGAGGGGCACUCCCCUAAGAUCUGCCCAAGUGGCAGAGUCUACGUCAUAAUUUGUGGUAGAGGGGGUUCGCGUCCGCGCGGCCCCUA